UUUUUCUUUUUUUCUUUUCAGGGCUGCACCUGCGGCAUAUGGAAGUUCCCAGGGUAGGGGUCAAAUCGGAGCUGCAGCUGCUGGUCUACACCACAGCUGCAGCAAUACGGGAUCUGACCCUGUCUUCGACUGACACCAAAGCUCAAGGCAACACCAGAUCCUUAACCCACUGGCAAGGCCAGGGAUCGAACCUGUGUCCUCACAGCAGAUCUUCAUGGGGGUGGGAUGGGGGGACCUGAGGCUUCCGGCUCUGGGACUUCCACGGGCUGCCUGCCGACACAGCCCAGGAGGUUUCUAUGUGGCAACUGCCCUUGACCCCCUGUGGCUUCCUCCUCCUAGUGGGAUGUCUGCCCCUGUGCCUUUAACUUACAACCCCUGGAGUGUCCAUCAGCCAGGCCCCAAGCACCACGUGUUCCAGAUUCUUCAGAUCCCGCCAACAGCAAGAGCAGGCUGGGCCCGUGAAUAUUCCAUCCUCCCCCAUUCUAUGCCUCCCAAGGCAGGGCAAGUUCUUAGAGAUGGGGUCUCCUAUGUCCUGUGUACUCCUGUCUCUCCACCCCCUGGAAUAAUGCUGGCACCUGGUAGGGACCCAGAAAAUAUUUACGGACUGAGUGACGGAUGGGUCAUUAAAUCUCAAAAGGAAAGAGCAGAAACCAUCUUGCCUGGACGUGAAGGAACAGGCCUGCAGGCCUCUCCUCGGGAAGGAGGCAGCAGCCAUCACGUGUGUCCAACGUGAGGCCACCUAACACACAUUCAUGGGCCACCCCGUCUACACAAGUUCUCCUUCCUUAGAAUUCCUGCAAACACUGCACAGACGGGUCAUUGUGCAGGGCCCUCGGCUGAGUUCUAUUCAAAAGCAUUUACUGGGCCAUCUUGGGCACCUGGUCCUGUGCCCAGUAUCGGGGGUUCAGGGGUGAGCAAAGCCUGCCUCCUGCCCUCAAGAAGCUCCCCUUCAGUUGGGGGAGAUAGACAGGCAAGCGGAUCAUUCCGCUAGGUGGGCCCAGGGUGCUAGGACAGUGAGCAGAGUGGGGGCCCCCGUCCAGCUGGAGGAGAUGGGGACCAUUCCCCAAGCCACCAGGCAGCCAAGGAGACAGGCAGAGAAUCCCUCCUCAGAGCCUGGACCCUGUCAAACUCGGGGCUACACCCCUCAUGAGCCUGCUACUACCUGAAAGGAAACUUGGUCCUUGCCACUUACCUGAGGCAGGUAGGAGGAAGGGACGGGAGCCCCAGGCCAGGAGAGCAUCAUGGGAAAAGGCCGGGAGCUGUGCGCUGCAGGAUGUCCCGGGGCCAUCGGCACAGAUCACUUAUAUUAAUGGGUGAAAACCUGACCACGAUUAAGACGGGAGAGGAACCAGAAAUCAGUGACAGGAGCCAGGCCCUGGAAGGCUUCGUCCACUGUUCCCAUGAAUGCCAGUGGCCCUCAGCCUGGGCUCUAGGGAAGCCUGGCAUCCCUGGGGCUGGGCUACGGUUGCUGCGAAUGUUUGGUUCAAAUUUCUUUCAGAAUGUUUUUCGGAGAAAGGGGUAGCAGGUGCGGUUGGUAUCCUGCCCACACCUCCCAGCCCUCCCGUGUCAGGGCCCACCUGCACGCACUGCAGCGCCAGCUCCUGCCUGGCUUUGGCUGAGAGCUUUCUCUGACCACCAGGGUCCACUGGGCCGGGCCACACCCCGCGGCGCUCAAACACUGCAGCUGGUUCUAAGACACCAGCCUCAUUUCCUCUCGGGAGAGAUAACACUGAGCCACGCAGCCCGUGCUGGCCCCAGGGCUCCCCAGCGGAAUCAAGCUCUGUUUGUCCUGGUGGAAUUUACGUGAUGAUUGUGCCUAUUGGCGCCGUCCCUGCCCAGUCUCAUGCUCCCAGGACCCGCAGCUGUUUCCUGGGAGCGUGUCCCAGAUAAAGAGCCACAAGUAAAUCCUUGCGUCAAGGUCUGUUACUGGGGUGGUCCCAACCAAGACACACUCACACACACGCACACACAGAAUAUGUCUGGUAGGACUUGAAGAAGAUGGUAGGAAAAAUGCUGGGGAGAAAAACACUGGUUGAGGAUGAGGUGGGGGGAGACUCAUUUAUCACUAAAUAUUCUCUUUACCUUUUGGCCUCUGUCCACAGAUUUUUUUCUAUUAAAAAAGAAAGUAUGUAUUUUAAAACUCCCCAAAAUACGUGCUUUAAACCACGACAAUAGCGACUGUAAGUUUAUAUCAGCACAGUCGCAUGUGCUUUAUAGCCAAUGCUUUCCACUAGGACACCUUCCUUAGUUCCUGCCACUGGGCAUGCGCUCUUUGAUGGAGUCACAGUUGCUCUUUUCUGCUGAUCUGGCCCAUGAUUUUGAAUAUUUAAUUAAAGGUGUCACUGACUCGGAAGACUGUCGCUCUGCACGGAUGAUUUAUCAGAAUCCGGAUCUGCUCAGGUUCUGUGGCAUCGAUUUGUACGGAUGCACGACCGCAGUGCACUGAGGAGCCAAGUGCCAGGGUGACAGAACCUAGGUGAUCACGUGCAUAGCUAACGGUGAGCUGCGCAGUCAGUAACACUGCCUGAGCCCCUGUCCUCAGCUGGGAUGACUUCUGAUGUGACAGUUACAUUUCACACGAGCAAUGAAAGCAGUUAGACAGGGCUCGUGAUUCAACAUUCAACUCAAAAUUUCCUUCUACUUUGCAUUCAAGAUCUUGGAUGUGUGUCAUUAAAGGCACCCUGAGAUGGCAAAGCAAGCUGCAUAAAAAUAAAACGUAAAGAUGUGGCUCCCUUACUUAUAUCUUGAACCAGACUUUCUCAACAUUGGGCAGUAGAAACAAAUACGGGGUCAAUUGGACGCUGAAGCUGAGCUCAAACUGCAAGUGCCUCCAAGACCACGGAGGUCAAAGCUUUCGCUUUGGAAAACAGCCUCCUUAUUCUGAGGGGCUGGCUUUGCAACAAGCAAAUGUUAUACAAGCAUGCCGGUAAAUUACACACCUACCUACCAAUAAUAACUUUCCACCCGUUCUACUGCUGUUCAAUGCAAUAUUUUAUUUGGAAAAUGAGUUACAUUUCCAAAUGUUUGGACCUCUGCUAUGAAUGAAGGUGGCCUGUGCCGGCUUCUGCAUAGACCAGGGCUGUGCUCGAUGUGUGUGUGCAUGUUAGGCAGGCCACCCUGAGAGCCAUGUGGGGAGGGGGCUGCAGGGAGGGAGCCCACAGCCCUCUGCAUCCUGGAAAACCAACUGCAAGGGAGCUGCAAGUCAGCCUGGAGAUUUGGCAUUGAAAGCUGAACCGAGGGUGGUUCUUGUCUUUGGUGUGGAUCCAAGUCCAGGGCAAACGUGGUGAAUGAGAAGAGAGAGUCAAGUGCUGGGCCUAAGAAGCGAUGCCCCAUGGCACCGUCAACUCCGCCCCACAGGCAGGAGCACUGACCUCACAGCUAGACCCCCAAACACCUCCAGGGUUCAGACCGUGGAUUCAACCCCCUUGGACUCCCCCUGGGCCUAAAAUAAAACUGCUUAGAGAGCAGCUGCAGCAUAAAUGCUUCUUGGUUGCCCUAUUCCAAAAGGCAAAUAAUUGUGUUACAACAAGAGUCCCAUUUAGACAAAUCUAUCAAAAGUUCUGUAUCAUAUCCAAACUUGCUUAAAUGUCUCCAUCUGGGCAGAGUAGCAACUGGCACUUCGAAACAAAAUUACUAUGACUUUUUUUAAUUGGGAGCAGUCUACAUGCAGUGGCUACUUUUAAAUGACGUCUUUUUUUAACAAAUGAAAGAGAGAAAGAAGGGAAGGAGGAAGGGAAGGAGGGAGAGGAGGCGCAGUUUGUAUUUUUGGGUUUUUUUGGUCUUUUUAGGGCCACACUGGUGGCAUAUGGAGGUUCCCAGGCUAGGAGUCGAUUCAGAGCUGCAGCUGCCAGCCUACCCCACAGCCACAGCAACACGGGAUCCGAGCUGCUUCUGCAGCCUACACCACAGCUCAUGGCAACGCCGGAUCCUUAACCCACUGAGCGAGGCCAGGGAUCGAACCCACAACCUCAUGGAUCCUAGUCGGAUUUGGUUCCGCUGCGCCACAGUGGGCCCUCCCACAGUUUGGAUUUAAUCAGGCCCUGAAAAGCCACAUCACGUCGAAGAACAUAUGGCUGCUCCCCGUGUCGUGCCUUCCUUCGGCACCGCUCACAGCCAGUAACUGGACUCUGAAUCACUGCUCUCCUCCCUCCCUGCCAGCUCCACUCCCGGCCCGAUCCCUUCCUGGUUCCGAAGCAGAGCCUGGGCCUCCCAGGUGGGGCUUACCGGCAGCUCUGGAGGGUCCCAGGGCUCACCUUCCAGACCCGGCCCCUUGCAGCCUCCUUUCACCGGCGAGUGAGUGUUUGCCCACCUGGUUUCUUUCCCUGACUGGGGACAGAACCGCAAAAUCAGAGAAAGGUCCUCUGCAGAGAAGGGAUUCCUGUCCCUCCCCUCCUCCGGGGGACCUUCCUAUCCACCCACAUUGUCCAUGUCGUCCCUGCUGGCGGACUCUGACCCACGUGGCCAGGCUGCGACUCUCUGUGGUCCUCUCUCGGUCCCCAUUCUAUCUGUGCCAACACUGGUUGAGAUGGAUGUCACAGAAGUUCGGAUGGAAAGGAGUCACAGAAGGGGGGGCUGCCCCCGCUGAGCAGACCCCUGGGGCCAUCCCAGUGUCCCAGGCACAGGCCCCAGUCCACUGCUCCAGGUCCCCCUGGAGGGUAAGCAGCCUAAUUACCCUCGACUGCAUUUCCAAAACCCUGUGCUCAACGGCAGAUCUGUAACUUCGUGUUUCUUCUUAAGGGAGGCAUCCCCCUACUAUGAAGACUUCAAGGCCCCCAAGCCGGAGCUGCCCUCGCCACCAGCUAAUUGUGAGCCAGUUUUCUGCAAUCCACCUGCAGGAUUGCUCUCCACGCCCGGCGGCCUGCUCAUCUCCCAAAUUGCUCCUUCCCCACUGGCCGGGCUCCAGCGGCCCCGCCUUACCCCUGAGCACACCAGGCGGGGCCAGGGCAUCAGGGCCUCUGCAGUGGAGGCUGCCCUCCAGGUGCUCGCCUCCCUGGGGUCACAUCAGGCGGGACUUUCUCCGUGGGCCUCCCCAGCUUCCUGAUUAAGGGGAGCCCUCUGUCCCCUCCUUCUGCCCUCUGCCCCACCGCCCCGUCCCCUGCUGACUUCUGCAUCAUUUGUCAUCUGCCAGCACACUUCGUGACCUGAUUCUUUAUGUUUUCUUUUCUGUUCCUGCUACUCUCCCCAACCAGAAUGGAAGGUCCAUGAAGAAAAGGAAACAAAAUCAGUUUUGUUGGAGUUCCCGUUGUGGCUCAGUGGUUAACGAAUCUGACGAGAACCCAUGAGGUUGCGGGUUCAAUCCCUGGCUUCGCUCAGAGGGUUAAGGAUCCAGCGUUGCCGUGAGCUGUGGUGUAGGUCGCAGACGCGGCUCAGAUCUGGGGUUGCUGUGGAUGUGGAGUAGGCCGGUGGCUCCAGCUCCGAUUGGACCCCUAGCCUGGAAACCUCCAUGGCUGUGGGUGCAGCCCUAGAAAAGACAAAAAAAAAAAAAAAAAAAAUCGGUUUUGUUGAGUAGUGAGUUCCUGGCGCCCAGCACAUAGUUCACAAGAGUCACUUGGUUAAUGUUUCGUAAAGGCACAAGGUGGCAGGACCUGAGACAGGGACAGCCCAACCUCCCCGCCCGCCUGGUGCAGCUGGGGGACAGCGCUGGUCCAAUGGAGAAAGGAAAGUUGCUUCUCAGAGGUGACUUGGCUCCACAGGUCCCAGUACAUCCGGUCCCUGCCCAUCUGCCUCAGGAGGUGUCAUCGGGCCCCAGACAGAGCCACCACCUAUGAAGUCCCCAGAAAUGCUGAGGCUGGGAUAGGGGAGGGGCUGGGGCCCGUGGGACUUCCAUGAGUGCGUCCAGUCCCACAGCAGGGCAGCCAAUUUCCAAAAGAGCAAAGUACACAGAUGUUGACUCAGAGCCGGCGCUAACUUCCUGCCUUUGCACAUCUGGCCAAUCCUGGCUGGCCCGACGGGGGGGCGGAAGGGGUGCAGCGGUGGAGCUCCGGGGGGAUGGGAGCCUUGUGACUUUAACCCCCACGGGGACACGGCUCUGAGUGGUACUGGAUCCUGGCGCCAGGAAGAGGGCGUGUGUCUCUGAGGAACAGGGCGCGGAUGACACCAAGAUGUCCAUGGGCCCCUCCCUGGAGCGUGAUCCCCACUCAGCUAGUCGGGACCCCCUCCCCCGCAGCCAAUGCUGAUGACAUCAUGACAAUCCGAGCUUUCUAUAGUAGUUUAGGGUAGCCAAAGCUCUUUGUCACAGCCUCUUUCAUGUCGCGGCCAACCAAACCUGGAAGAAAGACCAGGAAUCGUCAUCCCGUUUUCCACAGGGAGCGCUUGAGGGCUGUGGGGGUCACGAGCCAGCACACGUCAAGGCGGGACAGGCUGCACCCUGUCCUGUGUCCUCAGAGACAGGACCGUGACACCCAGGGUUUAAUGCUUAGGGCAACUAUUUCCCUGAACCGCCAAGCUGCCUGAGUGCAGACACUUAUCCGAGCACUGCGGGAGGGGCGAGUCACUUCUCGGGCUGAAGAGGGACACCGCCUCUCAGCGCCCACCGCACACCUGCUGGCCAUUCUCUAAUCUCUCUCAGACUGUGCUGAUUACCACAAAAGGACAAAAACAAAACCACUUGUUUCUUUUUGAAAAAUGGUCAUCAAUAGGGAGUCAGUAAAAAUCUAAGAGGCAGUCACAGAGGGAGCCUGGCAAUCGGGAGGAGGGUGGCUGUGAUGGCAGGAGCAUUGGCAGCUGUUCUCUGCCAUACCUGCCAGUGGUCAGACUCUGUGCUACGUACUUGACAUGUGUAUCUCAUUUACGCUUCCCAGUGGCUCCAUGACUUGGUAAUAUUGCUGUCCCAUUUAACAGAUAGGGAAACUGAGGCCUAGAGGUGAAUUCCUUACUUAAAGUCUUACAGCUGGGAAGUGGUAGAGCCCAGACUUAAUUUCGAGCCUAUGGCAAAGCCCAUGCUCUGAAAGCCUACAUUGCACACCUUAUGUGGCCUCUCCGUGCAAGUGCCUUCCCGUAGCCCGCGUGGGCUCCCAUACUUCUGAAGUCACCAGCAGGCGAGAGCAGUGCCAGACUAUAUCCUGUCCCUUUUCCCAAUUCAUUCUCCGUCUGUCUCUCUGCCUCACUCUCUGUCUGUCUGUCUCUCUGUUCCGCCCUCUCCCCAUACUUCCUCCUUAUCUCAGGGCCUUCCUCUCUCCUCUUUCUUGAGCUGAGCAGGAAAAUCAAAAUUCUUCUCUCCAGACCCUGCAGAAACAAUCCAUUCAUUUAACAAAUGGUUUGGGGUAAAUGUUCUGUGCCAGGCCCUGUUCUAGACCCUGGGCACACGGCAGCAAACAAAACUGACGUGAAUCCCUGACUUGAUGACUCAGUCGUGCUUGUGGAGAGAUGGACAGAAAACAAACCUGGGAGGUCAAGCCAGAGGCAGGCAGGGCUGAGCGGGAACGGAGGCAAAAGCAGAGGUGAGACAGGGUGGGGCCAGGCGAGGCCUCGAAGAGGAAAAGCCUUUUGGGCAGAGACCUGAGAGCAGGAAGGAGGAAGUCGUGUGACAAAGGACAGCCUCAGUGUGAUGGGAAUGAGCUCAGCAUUGUCACCAGACUUCGCAAAGGAUGAGGAAGGAGGCCGGGAAGAAGAGAAGGAAGGAAACAGAAAAGAAGGAAAGAAAAAAUUGGACACCAUUAAAUUUAAAUUUCCGAUAAACAAAAAACAAUUGGAUGGGGGACAUGCUUAUACGAAAACGAUAGUUGCUAUUUACCUGAAACGUCACUGUGCCUGGGAAUCCCAAGCUUUAUGGGGCAGCCCUCGCCCUGGAGACGGGGCAGCGGGUCAGGGUGAAGGGAGGGAAGGGGGGGACACGGGCACCAGGAGCGGGGCUGACACAUCCUGCCCAGAGAAGCCAUCUAGAUACCCCGCCAGAUUUUCCAGGGCAGUUGUCUCCCCACUGUCUAUGAGAAACGUGUGCUAAGCGCUCCGAAAGAGCAGGUGGGAGAGAGGACGUCGCGGGGGUCCAUCUAGUGUGGUGCAGGGAGGCGUCCGUGUCUGCGGCACCUCUGCUCCCAAGAGGGUGCAGCCCAGGAGACCCCCGGCAUCAGCGGCUGCAUCCAAACAGGCUCUACUGAGGGGGCGCCAUGGGCUGAGAAUCGGAGGCCCACAGAUGAAGCUGUAGAAGGGGCUGGGCCUCCUCUCUGGCUCAGGAUGGGGCCCAGAGGGGAGUCAAAGGUCAGCAAGGUCCCCCUGGGUAGCCGGGGGUCAAGCAUUUGCCACUGGCGGGAGUGGUUGAUGUGCAUAUCUGAGCUGAGAGGGAGCUUCUGGGACACAUCUGAGCCAUGAAGAUGGCUACGCCUACAGCGUAUGGACGUUCCCAGGCUAGGGGUUGAAUCGGAGCUGCAGUCGCUGGCCUACACCACAGCCACAGCAAUGCCGGAUCCAAGCCUCGUCUGUGACCUACACCACAGCUCUCAGCAAGGCCAGAUCCUUAACCCACUGAGCAAGGCCAGGGAUCAAACCUGUGUCCUCAUGGAUACUAGUAGGGUUCUUAACCCGCUGAGCCACAGUGGGAACUCCUCCCGAGCCAUAAAUAUUAAGGUUGAAAAUAGUGAGAUCAGUCAGACAAUGAGACACCAACAUCAAAUGCUCUCUAUCACCGACAUGUAGAGUCUGAAGAAAGGACACAAUGAACCUCUUUGCAGAACAGAUACUGACUCACAGACUUCGAAAAACUUAUGGCUUCCAAAGGACACAGUUCGGGGGUCGGGGGGGGUACACUGGGGGUGUGGGAUGGAAAUCCUAUAAAAUUGGAUUGUGAGGAUCUUUGUACAACUAUGAAUGCAAUAAAUUCAUUGAGUAAUUAAAAAAAGAAGAAAAAGAAAAAAGAAAAAGAAGACACCUGAGGUUAAAAUGUAAACGACCAAGGGGCUUCCUUCGUCCUGGCUGAGCUGGGGGUAGGGAGAGAAGCCAGGAGAUCAAAGCAGACAUUUCAGCAAAAUUCCCUAUACCAGCAAGUAUCCACUUCACAGUCACCUCGAGAAUUAAAUGGGGCAACGCCUGUAACCGAUGACAUUAAACAGCCAAUGUCCCUUCUCCUUUCUAACUGAAGGCGUUAGCUCCCGUGCCAAGGUCUGGGACCUGCGUGGGCCUUGAGGGCCAAAAUCAAACCUCAUGAACCUGUCGUGUUGGUUGCUGGGCGACCCUGAGGCUCAGCGCAUCUGGAUCGAAUCCCUUUCCUGGAAACAGUGACCUCAUGAGGUUAAAGGGCAGGGCCCAGGGCAGCUGCCCAGCUGCGUUGCUCAAUGAACAGCAUGGAAAUACACAGCCUCCUUCCUAGGGUUCCCCUGUCGUUGGAUUUCUUACAUUCAU
rnacentral:lncRNA from 1 species